AGAGUUUGAUCAUGGCUCAGAUUGAACGCUGGCGGUAGGCUUAACACAUGCAAGUCGUGCGAGAAAGUAUCUUCGGAUAUGAGUAGAGCGGCGGACGGGUGAGUAACGCGUAGGAAUCUACCUAGUAGAAGGGGAUAGCCCGAGGAAACUCGGAUUAAUACCGUAUACCUCCUUUGGGAGAAAGAGGGCCUCUCUUUGAAGCUUUCGCUAUUAGAUGAGCCUGCGUAAGAUUAGCUUGUUGGUGAGGUAAAGGCUCACCAAGGCAACGAUCUUUAGCGGGUCUGAGAGGACGAUCCGCCACAUUGGGACUGAGACACGGCCCAGACUCCUACGGGAGGCAGCAGUGGGGAAUAUUGGACAAUGGGCGCAAGCCUGAUCCAGCCAUACCGCGUGUGUGAAGAAGGCCCUAGGGUUGUAAAGCACUUUAAGUUGGGAAGAAAAGUUAUUGGUUAAUACCCAAUAACCGUGACAUUACCAUCAGAAUAAGGACCGGCUAAUUCCGUGCCAGCAGCCGCGGUAAUACGGAAGGUCCAAGCGUUAAUCGGAAUUACUGGGCGUAAAGCGCGCGUAGGUGGUUUAUUAAGUUGGAUGUGAAAUCCCCGGGCUCAACCUGGGAACUGCAUCCAAAACUGAUUCACUAGAGUACGAUAGAGGGAGGUAGAAUUCACAGUGUAGCGGUGGAAUGCGUAGAUAUUGUGAAGAAUACCAAUGGCGAAGGCAGCCUCCUGGAUCUGUACUGACACUAAGGUGCGAAAGCGUGGGUAGCGAACAGGAUUAGAUACCCUGGUAGUCCACGCUGUAAACGAUGUCAACUAGCUGUUGGGAAGCUAUGCUUUUCAGUGGCGCAGCUAACGCAAUAAGUUGACCGCCUGGGGAGUACGGCCGCAAGGCUAAAACUCAAAUGAAU
rnacentral:rRNA from 1 species